GUGGACCGGAGAGAUGAACCCUGAACUCAAGGCAUGUGUUGAUUGGAGGGUAAAAAUCAAUGGAAAAGAGCCAGAUGCAUUACGGGGACAAGGAGCAACUUGAAUCGCUUCUGGAGUGAGAGAAUUGGCCGUCUGCAAGAAGCAUUGUAUCACCCAGAUUGCCUAGGCAAUGUUCAGCAAGACUUCAUUUCAUACAGCAUUUUCAACCCCAGAAUCAACCUUGGAAUGUGAAACACAAGAGACGUUUCAACAAAAGUAGAGUAAGGAGCUCUAACACCACGGACUGAAUCAGAGCUUGGAAUCAUUACUUUUUUGAAUGACAACUCCCAGAAUUCCCAGGCCUUGAAAUAAAAACGUCUUUGCCGUCUAAAAAGAAAAGCUCUGCAACAUUUCAUAGUUCUAGGCUGCCUGCCUGCACUUGUAGGAUCUGUGUCACGCACAUAUAUUGAGUAGUUACUUACUUAUAUUAUGUGUCAUUUGAUUAGGCCUGUCAUUUUGGAUUUAUCAUUAAGGCAGCAGAAUUCUGAUCAAGAAUUUUCAGACACAGCAACCAUAUUUUGAAGCAAACGAAAGAGUUAGGAACAGCAGCUGGUAUUCUCAGGAAGGUUGCUGGGCAUCUAGUGCUCUGGGUGGACCUGUCAAUGUUGGUACAUUAUGCUGGGCUCUCCUGUCAAUCAGUACCCAUUCCAAGGGCACCUUGUGUUCAUAUUUAUUCUUUUUUGAGCUUCCUUCUUGAUUUCUAUAUGCUUUCCACUUUUAAAUAAAGGUUCUAAAACAUGACCUCUCUAAUGAAAGUUAACUAUAGUCUUUUGAGAUUCUUUAGGUAUUUAUGUUUUUAUCCAUUCUACAUUAUGCUAUAAAAGUAAUUAUUUUGGCACAGUUUGUUGUGUGUUUUCUGGGCUGUAUAGCCAUGUUCUAGAAGUAUUCUCUCCUGAUGUUUCGCCCACAUCUAUGACAGGCAUUCUCAGAGGUUGUGAGGUAUAUUUUUGGCACAUUUGAUCAAAUCACCCCAUUUUUGAUAUCUCUUCACUGGUUAUUGAUUUCUUCUAGGAUUCAGUAUAAGCAUCUUAUGUUAACAUUCAAAUCCCUAAACAAUUUAGCUCACUUCUAUCUUUCAGACCUUUUAAAAAAACCCAGCUUCCUUGAUAUUUGUGUUUUAGGAAUUCCAGACUUCUUGCCCAAAUAAAAGCUUCCCUUUUUUGGGCUCAGGUCCGUCCUUUCUCACUUGUUUCCACAUACUCUUCAAACCGCUUCCUUGAGCAUUUGCAGUCUGCUUCUUACCCCACUGUUUUUUAAUCUCAGUGGAAAAUCCCCCCACCCCACAAAGCUUUUGGGAUUUUAGUUGGACAUUGUUUUGUAGCCUUGUAUAUUCUGAUUACUUAUAUUUCCAGUUUUUACUGGAAUUUACUGGAAUUUACUGAUUACUUAUAUUAUUAUAUUAUGUUUUCUAUUUGGGUGAUUUGUUUUGCAGUUGUAUUGCACAAUUUUAUGCUUUGUUGUCCCCACUUCCCUCUGUGUGUAUGCACACACAUAUUUCAAAUUGUAUGUCUUUGGCAGAACCCACUGUUUUUGCUUAUUGUGAAGCACCAUGCAUAUUUGAUGGCACUAUAUAAAUAAACAACAACAAUGCCUAAACCAGAAUUUUCUGUACAGGAAACAGAAUCUUCUGUGCAGAAAACAGUUUUAUGAUACUGUGCAUAAAAUACUGUUUUCUGUACAAAACACACACAGGCAAUUUUUGCAUAGAAUGGUAAAGAUUCUUCUUAAGUCCAGCUUUUUUUCUCAUCAAGGUUUCUUGAUACUCAAGAAACAUGUUUUCCAACCAUUUGGGGGACUAUUUUAAAAUAUGAUUUCAAUUCCUUCUCAAGCAGCAUGACACAAAAGCUGUCUACAAAUUUAAAAUUUAACAAUGAGGCAUUUUGCUUCCUGCAUUCAGUUUCCUCCCUUGUUGAGAUGUUGUUCUCUCUCCUCCCUGCACCCAUGCCUUGACCUUCUCAGGGCCAUUCCUCACCGUUUCCAAAUGCCUCAAUCACUGUUUUAGAGUCAGAUUUUGAAAAUCCAUGUUGUUAUUGUGCUUUAAAUGAAAUUGUUCUGUUUCUUCUUGGAUGCCUUUAAAAAAUCUUUUCCCAACCCUUCAAAAUUCAAAUUAACUUUGCAUAUUUUAUAUGUCAGCUACAUACACUAAAAAGGCCAUCACACCUAAUUGGGGUUAGGAAAGGAAGAUGAAAGCCUGUAUUUCACUCUAGCAACCACAACUGGCAGUACAAAAUGUCAGAGGGAUUGAGAUUAGUGGAAGAGAGAGCUCGCAACACAAGACAGCCCAGCUGCUGGGAAAAUCAAACUAAGCAACUGAUCAGAAAUACUUUGAGGUGCACAUUAACAGCUCCACUUCCAAAGAAGGCCAGAAAGAAGAACACAGAAACUGUCUGCUGGGUAAGUAUGCCUCAUGUUUCUUCUUUAGACAAUAUAUGAGGAUGGAUCAUGCCUGGAAUUUUAGCUCAUCUUUCCUCUUUGAGUUUCAGAAGUUAGUCUUUAGAUUGAGAAGUCACUUUGAUCAAAUCAUCCAAACAAGUCAGAUCUGUUAUUUAAGUCCUAUUUCUAGUAGAGAUUUUUAAAAUGUAAAGUCAAGUCAAUUUGGUAUCAUUCUAAACUAGGGAAGGGUAACUCUUAAAACCAGUCCACUCGACAGCACUACCUUACCUUAGAUCUUACCAGAAUUACAUCAAGAAGUGGUGAAAACUUUGAAAAGUUGCAAAUGAAGAAUACAAGUCCCCCUUUUCAAUCACUGAAUAUAUAAAUCUACCUUCAAUUGAAUUAGACAGUGGCUCUUCCAGCCAAAAGAAGUAUGCUUCAGUCUUUCCUAACCUGGCGACUGUCAGAUAUUUUAUUCUAUAGCACUCAUCACCUCUAGUCAGUAUGCACAUUGUGGAUAGUAAUCGUGGGAAUUUCAGACAGAAAAAAACUAGAGGGCACCAGGUUAGGGUGUGUGUGCACUAGGUUGGGAAAUGCCACCAUACUUCAACUGGUAGCAGCUUCUCAACAUUUCAGGUGAUUCCUGUGGUAAAAUCUGUUAAGAACUUUUCACCCUGAAAUUAUUAUUAUCUUAUUAUCUAAUAAUGAAUAUCACUUUGCAGAAUAUAAGUUUACACAUUCCUAAUUACAGUGACCCCAAUGGAGAAUGAUAGAGCAAAAGGAUAAAGUAGUGGAGGCUGAGAUAAGAAAAAGACACCAUUUUGGACUCACUGAAUUAGGUUCCCUGCAGGAUUAAGAUGCAAAGAUAUGGUCUUCCAUUUUGCUAAUUGUGAGAUAGAGGAAAGUGACAUUCAUAAAUAUCAUUGACCUCUGCACAUCAUGCCCAAAGUAGUCCCAGCAUUGACUAACAAAGCAACAUUGUAAUGUUCCAUCUUCCAUAUAACUUUAUUACAUUGUUCUGUUGUCAGAUUUGUUCAAAAAGACAAAAUGAUCCCUAUCAAUACACUUGUGGAGGGCUUCUUGGAGAACAGUUUUCCAAAAGCUGGUGCUUUUCAGAUAAGAUGGGCCACAGCUUCUAUUAUCCUCUGUCAUUAUGUGUGCUCACUGAAAUGAUGGGUGUUAUUAUGCAACUCACUUGAAGAGCACCAGAUGGAAAUAAAUGCAGUUUUAGGCUCCAGUUACACUGCUAUAAAUGGAGUUUAAAACUGCAUUAAAUUGUGAAUGUAGGCUCAUACAAUGCAAUUUAACUGCACUGAGCUACACUGGCUAUAUAAUACAGUUUCAAAAUGAAUUAUGGGUGAUCACUUGUGGCCGAGUAUGAUAUGUGGCCUCCUCACUUCUCAAGCUAAUGAUCUAUUCUGCUUGAGCAUAUGUAAAUUGUAGCUGUAACUGUGUAAGUGGGUCAGAUUGUGCACCAAGACAUACUCCAACUCUGGGGUGUCCUCUAGAGCAGUGGUUCUCAACUUGUGGAUCUCCGGAUGUUUUCGCCUUCAACUACCAGAAAUCCUAACAGCUGGCAAACUUGCUGGGAUUUCUGGGAGUUGUAGCUCAAAAUACCUAGGGACCCACAGGUCGAGAACCACUGCUCUAGAGAAUGCAGCUGGCCACCAGAAUUCACCUAUGUUAAAACAAAUUGCAGUGUUCUAAUAGCCCUUGUUUCUUUUAGGACACAAACUUUGUGAACUAUGCUCUAUAGCUCAUUAACAGGAUUCUCUAUAACAAUAUCUAUUUUCUUUUUCUCUUUCCACCCACACUUUGGGGUGUGUGUCUUCAGUGUCUAUCUUUGCUUCAGCCGAAGAAAACCCAAUCAGCUAUGAUCACAUGUGUUGCCAUGGCAAGUAUACCUUUAAUAUCAGAGCUAACAGUCAUGUAAAAUCCACAUAAUUGGCCCAUUUUUGAAAAUAAUUCAAAGCUUUCAUGCUAAUCCUUGAAUAUGCAUGAGAGGCAAAGAGCUGGAAGCAUCCUCCUUCCAGCUGGCUCCUGGUGCAUAAGACUCAAUUUUCACUGAA